rnacentral:lncRNA from 1 species
UGUAUCUUGUCGCUCAAUACUUUUAGGGUAUUUUGAGACUCGGGGACAACUUUGUUCGGCGAAUCGAGACCCUACGCGACGGUUCGGUGGGUUUGACCUAGCCUACAUAUGAGAAAUUCUCAUAUAUGGUUAUAUAUGUUCCGUAAAUUGAAAAAGCAUGCAUGUUCAUACUAAAUGUAUUUAUUAUGAUUUUUAGAAUGCUUAAAAUGUAUAUGUGAUAUAUAGUGGAAUUUUGGACCCCUAUGUAGUAGAGAGUUGCUUAGGAGAUCUUUGGUUGCAUUUAGCAUUCUUUAUGAGACUUGGUUUCAUGCUUCUAUAGUAUAAAUGAGUUCGGAUUCAUGCAUUUAAACUUGAGUUUACUUGUGACAUGAAAGAUGACAAGAUUGCCAUUUAGAAGGUAUGUGAACUAGAGAGCUAAUGUCAUCAAGCGGCAUUGAGCUCGGGACAUGCGAGAAUCUAGCGGAUAGAGCCAUUGAGGGAUUUGGAAUACAUGUUGAACAUCAAAUUGCCUAAGUGUCAUCAAGGGGCACUAGACGUAGCAAAUAUUGAAACUUCACCUUGUGACUUAAACUAGAU